rnacentral:RNase_P_RNA from 1 species
GAUACAAGCCACCUUAUCGCUGCGACUAGAGUAAUCGAAAUCGGAGAGGAAAGUCCGGGCACCAUAGGGAAGCAUAGCGGCUAACGGCCGUCACUUCAAAUUCGAUUCUUCGGGUUUGGAGUAGGACAAGUGCAACAGAAAGUAUGUACAGGUAAUGCUGUAGUGAAACCAGGUAAACUCUAUGCGGUGAAAUGUCACAUAUACCUGCUUUUGAGGGUUCCCGCCCAAUGCAGGAGGGUAGGCAGAUGGACCCCGCCAGUAAUGACGGGGCUAGAUAAAUGAUAAGGGCCUUGACCUAGUUAAGGAACAGAACCCGGCUUAUCGGCUUGUAUCUUUU